rnacentral:rRNA from 1 species
CUACGGGAUGCACCAGUGGGGAAUAUUGGACAAUGGGGGAAACCCUGAUCCAGCAAUGCCGCGUGUGUGAAGAAGGCCUGCGGGUUGUAAAGCACUUUCGGUUGGGAGGACUGCUUCUAGCACUAAUAUUGUUGGAAGUUGACGUUACCUUCAGAAGAAGCACCGGCUAACUCCGUGCCAGCAGCCGCGGUAAUACGGAGGGUGCAAGCGUAAUCGAAAUUACUGGGCGUAAAGCGCGCGUAGGCGGCUAGAUCAGUCGGGUGUGAAAGCCCCGGGCUUAACCUGGGAACUGCAUCCGAUACUGUCUAGCUUGAGUACAGGAGAGGAGAGUGGAAUUCCACAUGUAGCGGUGAUAUGCGUAGAUAUGUGGAGGAACACCAAUGGCGAAGGCAGCUCUCUGGCCUGAUACUGACGCUGAGGUGCGAAAGCGUGGGGAGCAAACAGGAUUAGAUACCCCAGUAGUC